GAGCUGAAACUCAGUGGUAGAGCACAUGUUCUUUAUGCAAAAUGUCCCAGGUUCAAUCCCUGGGAGAGUUCA